rnacentral:rRNA from 1 species
UCUGGCUCAGAUUGAACGCUGGCGGCAGGCCUAACACAUGCAAGUCGAACGGUAGCACAGAGAGCUUGCUCUCGGGUGACGAGUGGCGGACGGGUGAGUAAUGUCUGGGAAACUGCCCGAUGGAGGGGGAUAACUACUGGAAACGGUAGCUAAUACCGCAUAACGUCGCAAGACCAAAGUGGGGGACCUUCGGGCCUCACACCAUCGGAUGUGCCCAGAUGGGAUUAGCUAGUAGGUGGGGUAAUGGCUCACCUAGGCGACGAUCCCUAGCUGGUCUGAGAGGAUGACCAGCCACACUGGAACUGAGACACGGUCCAGACUCCUACGGGAGGCAGCAGUGGGGAAUAUUGCACAAUGGGCGCAAGCGAUGCAGCCAUGCCGCGUGUAUGAAGAAGGCCUUCGGGUUAAGGUACUUUCAGCGGGGAGGAAGGCGG